rnacentral:rRNA from 1 species
UACGGGGGGAGCAAGCGUUGUUCGGAUUUACUGGGCGUAAAGGGCGCGUAGGCGGCCUCCGCAAGUCAGUUGUGAAAUCUCCGAGCUUAACUCGGAAAGGUCAACUGAUACUGCGGGGCUAGAGUGCGGAAGGGGUAACUGGAAUUCUUGGUGUAGCGGUGAAAUGCGUAGAUAUCAAGAGGAACACCUGCGGCGAAGGCGGGUUGCUGGGCCGACACUGACGCUGAGGCGCGAAAGCUAGGGGAGCGAACGGG